rnacentral:lncRNA from 1 species
AAAUGAAUCAUAAGUGAAGGUAAUUUUCACCGACUUCAAAAAUUGGCUUUUCGAAAACACUUGUUAAAUCAAAAGUAAAUUACUUUCAAAUGGAUUCCUUGAGUGCAACUCUUCAAACUUAUGUCUUUCUCGCUUUCCAUGAGUGCAACUCUUCAAAUUUAGGUCUCUCUCGCUCUCGAAAUAUCCAAUUUAAAAUUAAUUGGCUAUAAAUAGAGAAGUCUGACCUUUGAAGAAAAUAUAUUAAACUUUGAUGGUUUAAGUGAAUGAUACCAAAAGAAAUGAGUGACGGGGGCUCUCAAAUUUGGGAUUUGUUUUUAAUAUACGGGUGGUCCUGUGAUACAUUUAAAUAUAUAUAGAUAAAUUUUAUUGACAUUCUUUAUUUUUAAAAAUAUUAUCUAAAUUAAUAAUUGAAACUAUUUUGGUACAAAAAUAACAAGUUUGCCCUUAGAGUUAGGGAUUCUAAAUAUUUUUCUCAAUGCACUCAUUAAAUAAAUAAAUAUUCUCUCUCUCUCUUAAAUUUAAUAACAAAAUUUAUUUUUUGAGUAUGUUUAUAUUAGAAGCAUUUAAAAAAUAAAAAAUAUUUAGAUCAUUUUUUUCUUAAAACAUCUUAUUGGUAACAAAAUUUUAUUUUUUAAGUACAUUUUAAUUAGGAGUACCUAAAAAUUAACUAUUUAGAUCAAUUCAUUUCUAAAAAACUAUUUAUGGAUCAAAAAUAAAAAUGUAGUAGUUUACAAAUAAAUGACAUUUUGAAAAAAAAUAUAUUUAUUUUUUAAUGAGUGUAUUGAGAAAAAAAUUAAAAUUCCUAAAUCUAAGGACAAAUUUGUUAUUUUUACACAAAAAAUAGCUCUAUGAGAGAAUUUUGAUAAUUAUUUCAAAAGUAAGAGAAUCAGUAAAUUGUCUAAUACAUUGGGGACUAAAUUGGUAAAUAAGCCUACAUUUGAGCCACAUUAAUUUAAAAUUAUAAAUAUAAUGAUAUCUGACUGAUUUUAUAUAAUAGCAAUUAAAGAAAACGUGACUGAAAAUCAUUGCCCUUCUUUCUUUCUUUUCCGAUCCUUCUUUCUGUAUUUUAACUACCUCUAUGCAAGUUAUGCAACGUAACGAAGCUGUUUCAGUGUUAACACUAAUGGUACAAUCAUGCGCGUAGCUAUACUAAGGCUUAGCUCCGCCUAAUAAUGCUUAAAAACUAAGUUUUUUAAAUAAAAAAUUCAGAAAAAAUCAAGAUUUUUUAGAUUUUUUUAUUUUUCUGCCUUUACUUUAGCAACAAAUAAAUAAAAAAAUAAAAAGUAAAAAAGCAAACUCUGACUGACUUUUUUGCUUAUAAACUUAAAAAAACCCAGCCGAAAACUGGUACCAAAUAAAGCCUAAGAUAAAUGGGGUCAAUUGAUCUCAUUAAAAAAAAUUACACUACGAGCCUAAUGUAGAAGUUAUCAUAAAUACUAAUAAAUGACAGUAUAGCACAAUGUGUGCAUGAAAUUUUAUAAAUUCUAUAAUUUUGACCCGUUGAACCUAAGUUCUGACAAUUUUAACCUCACAAAAAAUUAAUAAUUUAUCCUAAAUUUCAUAAAUUCUAUAAAUUUUGACUCCUCUAAACAUAAGUUUUGACAAUUUUAACCCCACUAAGCUUAAGUUCUGACUUCGUCCCUGACAAUUACACUCUCUCUAUAUAUAGAGAAUUUUGUGAAAGAGUAAUGUGCUUGAAUUAGGUAGAUAGUUCCUUUUCAAGUAAAACACUCCUCAAGAUUACUUUUGUUUAUCAAAAUACAUUAGCUCAUUAAUUAGUAUUUUUGCAUAGUUAAUUUUAUGUACAGUUUUAAAGAAUAAUAUUUUCCCUUUUUUUUUAAGUUGUUUGAGAGAGAGAGAGAGAGAGAGAGAGAGAGAGAGAGAGACUACAUGAAAAACAUACCAUCGCUACUAACUGGGAAUGAAAAUAGAACCACCAAACCCACAUACAGUAACUAUAUGUUUAGGACUCCUAUAUCUGAUAAUAAGUACUCUUUAACCAAACCAAAUCAAGAUCCCCAUUCCCCGACAUGAAGCAAAAGGCCAACCAAACUGCCACAACACAUCACUGUCAUAUCGCCCAUGUCCAUAAUUCCAACAAACAUGACACAACAAAGACUGAUCACCAACCAAAAUGACUAGAUAAAAACCAAACAUGUCAAACUAACACAACAACACAAACCCUAACCCCAACCCUAUCCCUAGGACCAUGAAACCACAGACCCCAGAAAACACCAGUAAGGUGGGCCCGUCACGGGCUUUUGGGCGGGGCCGGGACGCACCCAACGCUCCCCGGAAAGAACGAGCACCAGGUUCCGGCGCCCGGUGGGCCGAAACUGAACCCUGGGCUCGGGAAAGACCCACUGAAGCCCGGGCUGGGAAAUGAUCUGGUGAAGCCCGGGCUGGGGAAGGACCUACCGAUCCCUCUGAAGAAGUUCUGAGGCUGGUCGGCGUUCUUGAGGGUUCUUGCGCCUUCACCUUUGGAUGCAAAGACCAUGAG